rnacentral:lncRNA from 1 species
UUACUUGAACCAACAAUAAAAGGUACUAGCACCUCUCCUUCUAUCUGCUGUCUGCCAAAUGAAUAAAACAUAUCAACCUGAGAAAUAAUUUCAGGGUAAAGCCAUAAGAUUGACAACCAAAAUAAAAGUAAGAAAAAAAGAGAAAAAAAAAUCCCUCAUAUUAGGUAUUUUUCUAAGACAAGUCUGACACAUCUCUAUCUUGUGUUUAGUGUGCAUAGCUUAUAUCCUGACAGUAGUGUGUGUGUGUGUGUGUGUGUGUGUGUGUGUGUAUAACAUAUGAAAUACUUUUCAGUUUUUCAGUUUCCGUUCUGUCUACAAUAACAGUUACAUUAUAGACUGCAUUAUAUAGACUCAAGGUUUUAUUCUUCAUUAACUGAUAUCAUUUACUAGCUGUGACAAACUCAGCAAUUUCUUCGUGAUUUCCUAGUCUUCAUUUGUGUGUGUGUGUGUGUGUGUGUGUGUGUGUGUGUGCCUUUGAAAUGAAUAAUGACAUCAAAUCUCUACAUAAUUCCAUGAAUGAAUUUGUGGGACUCCUGUCCAUAAGUCCUGCCACACCACAGUAUCUUCUGUAUCUUUUGACUUCUUACUCUUUAAUAAGUAGAAGAUAGACUCCAAGAACAUCCUAACUUAAUGAAUUAAAUGGUCUAGCAACAUACUCUUUAUUGUUGUGUCUCUUGUCUGCCACUAAGAAUCAGCUAUACAUUUGAAGACUACUUAUGACAAAGUGGCAUAAAUUAAUACUCAGGUUCUUUUACGUUGAUGAAUGUCUUCAGAAAUAUAGAAAAGCGACAUAUGCAAAGACCAAAGUAGAAAUUCUAAAAAGGUUACAACCAUUAACUAAUGUAAGUCUUAGUGUUUUUCUAUAGAUUUAUUUAUGCCAUCUCUACUCCUGCCAACCACAAUAAAUAAGAAAUGACUGAGGCUACUUCUAGCAGGACCAGAAAAUAGAUUUUUUGGACAACUUGAUGAUGAACCAUGAAGACCUUGCUUGGAAGCUCAACACUUUUAUGAAUAUGUAGAUGGCUUUUUGUGACCACCAUAAGAAAAUAUGACAUCGCCACUGCUCUCCUGUUAAGAGACCUAGUCUAGACUAUCCUGAGUCUGUAAUUAAUCCAUAGUUAUUGAAUGAAUGAUAGCCUUUGUUUUAAAAUUUGUCUUACAGGGCAUGUUUCUACCUCAUCAAGUUACCUACUUUAAGUGUUACAGAUUUUAUUAAGAACCUAUGUGUUUAAGGGGUUAUCUAGUAAUUCUGUAUAAAAUUAGUCCUCAUUCACAAAGAAGCCAAAUAUUCAACAUUAUAUUACUCAGGCUUUUUUACUUUAAUCCCUCACCCAUUUCUUGCCAUUUAUUAGCCAUUCAUAAACACCUCUAUCCUGGAGAGCAGGGCCAGUGGAGGGAGCAUAGAGGAGUGUCAUAUGAGAGAGACAGUCUUUAGGGUUUGCGAGAGUUAAACUGUGGAGAAGUCAAAUAAUAGCUCCAGUGAGGUAGUGUUUUAAUGAAGGCGGCUUUGCUAUUUUAUUGCUUAUAUUACGCAGUAUUCUUGCUCAAUAUUUAAAAUCAAAUUCAUAGAUACAAAAGCCAAAAACAAACAAACAAAUAAACAACAAAAAACCCUGAUAGAUGUGGGAAGUGCUUGAUUUUAGGAAUGUAUUUUGUUAGCACUGUUGAAUCCUUACAGCUCUGAAGGUGGGUCAUUCUGAUUUCACUUCUCACAGAUAUAUUAAUUGUCAACAUAGCUUGUGUACAUAUAUUUGCUAGGGAAAUUUUCUUUCCAUUUCUCCAUCUGCAGUGCCUCAAAUUUACCUUGCAUUCAUUAGAAGCAGACCAUUGCCACUGAAUAAAUGAAUGAUGAAUGAAUGUUAAAAAAAAACAAAAUUAGUGCACAACUCAAAUAGUUCUUUAUGCUGAGUAUGAAAUGUUGUCUUUCUAGUAUGUGUACUCCAUGGUAGUGGCAUCCCCAUCUCAGUUGAGAAAAAUAUACAAUCCAAGCACAGGUUCUCUACAAUAGCACACUGUAUAUGUCUCAACAUAUGUGUACUGCUUGUUAACUCUGAGUAAAGUUAUCCCUUAACAGGAGCACUGAAUUCAAUUUUGCUGUCAAAAAAACACCGACUUCUUGUCCACUGCCAAAGGUUCAGUCAGAAUAUACACAUAGAAAAGCUGGUUAUUUUAAGAAAAAAAAAUAUUUAAAGACAAAUUUCAUUUCGUGUGUGUGUGUGUGUGUGUGUGUGUGUGUGUGUGUAAAAGAGACCAUGAAAAGAAUUUUAGCAGCCUGAUGUGGUGGCGCACUCCUUUAAUCCCAGCACUUGGGAGGCAGAGGAAGGGGGAUAUCUGAGUUUGAGGCUAGCCUGGUUUACAAAGUGAGUUCCAGGACAGCCAGGGAUAUACAGAGAAACCCUGUCUCAAAAAUA